UUACCCUAGGGGGGGGAGGGGAAUCCUAUGGGAGGCAGCGGAGGGGAAUCUUGCCCAAUGGCGAAACCAUGAUCCAGCAACGCCGCGUGAGCGAUGAAGCCCGUAGGGAGUAAACCCGUUCACCCGGGACGAAAUGACGGUACCUCAGAAGAAGCACCGCUAC
rnacentral:rRNA from 1 species